AGGCAAAUGGGGGGCCCCAAAGGGGGGCUGGGGGUUAAACGAAGCGUUACCCCGACGACCCCCUAAAGGGGGAAACCCCAGGGGUUUUUUAAAUUUAUCAUUAGGGGGAAAAAGAAAAUAAUGAGGGAAGGGGGGAACUAAAAACAUCUCAAAACCGAGGAAAAGAAAUAAAAGGGGGAGUUUCCCCCGUAGUUGGGAGCGAAAAAUUCAGAACCUGAAUCAUUUUAGUUUUUUAUUAAACCCCCCCGGAAAAGGGGAAAUGGGGGGGAAAGGGGUCCCGUACAAAAAUGACAGAGGUUAAUUGAGGGGGAACGUACAUCCGUCUAAAAAAAUAACCAUCCCCAAGGGCCAAAAAUUUGACUAAACCGAUGGGAAACCAAACCUGGGGGGAAAGGAAAAAAACCCCUUGGGGGGGGGAAAAAAAGAACCUGAAACCUUUGGGGGCCAAGCGGGACCCUUGAUUAAUCGGGGUGACCAAAAAUUUUUUUAAAAAUGGGUAAAAACCCCUUUUUUCAGAAGGGAACCCCAUGGGGACCCGGGAGGGAAACCAAAUCAAUUUGGGGGUUGCGGGGAUGAACCUAAAACUCGGUGAUUUGAAAAAGGAAAAUUAAGGUUUGGGAACACUAACUGGGGGCCCCCGGAACCACCAAUGGGGGAAAAAUUAGCGAGCCCUUGGGCCCGGGGAAAAUAAUCAAACCGGGGAUAGCGGGGUUCCCUGAAAUUUUAAGGGGGCCCCUUGGGAAAAACCAUCUGGGGAGAUUUUUUUGGGGCCGGGGCCAACCCGAUUCCCCAAACCCCGAAAUACGAAAAAGGGGGAAAAAAUUUAUUAGGGGAAACAUUUAGGGAAAAAGAACGUCGAAGAGGGAACAACCCAGACCCCCGGAAACCCCCAAAGUCAUGGUUAAGUGGAAACGAUGGGAAGGGCACAGACAGCCGGGAAAUUUGGGUUUAAAGCACCAUCAUUUAAAGAAAGGAAUAGCCCCAUUUGGUCAAAAGGCCCCGAAAGGGAAUCCCUGGUUAAACCACACCAAGGUGAAAGCGACACCGGGUUGUUGGGGUUUCCUGUGGUCGAAGGUUUGUGGGGGUUGCGGGAGGUAUCAGGGCGAAUCCCGAAAAUUAAGAAAAGGGGUAAAAAAAACCCGCACCCCGGGAAGACCGGGUUUCGCCAACGAAUCGGGGGGGGUGAGUCGCCCUUUUGGCGGGGCUAAAAAGCGUGGCCGAUGGGAAACAGGUUAAUAUCUAAAUUUUGGUGUUACCAAGGGGGACGGAAAAAAGUUAGGUUACCCCGGGCGAGGCUGUCCCGGUUUUAAAGGUGAUUUUUAAACCCUUUUUGUCAUUAACACUGAGGGUGAUGACGAGUCAUUUGGGAUAAAGAACCAAUCCCGUUCCGGGAAAGCCUCUUUUUCCCUGGGAAAAUCAAAUCGUACCCCAAACCAAAAGGUUUAAAGGUAGAGAAUACUCAGGCGUUUGAGAGAACUGGGGGAAGGAACUGGGGAAAAUGGUGCCAAACUUCGGGAGAAGGAGCUGAGGGUAGGUGAAGGGAUUUGUCUUGGGAGUUUAAAAUUUGGUCGAAAAACCCCAAAAGGGCCCGCAACGUUAAAAACAGCCCCGGAAAACACGAAAGUGGACGCAUCGGUGACGCCCCCCCGGGCCAACCCCGGUUAAUUGAGGGGGCCGCCGCAAGGGGGUUUUGAUCGAACCCCCGGAAAACGGCGGCCGAACAUAACGGCCCCAAGGGCGAAAUUUUUGUCGGGUAAUUUCCCGCCCCGCAGGGAAUGGCGAAAUGAUGGGGGGGCCCCUUCCCUCCACCUUGAGACCUGCAAAAUUGCCUGAAAGAGCUUUCCCCGCGGCAAGGGAAAGACCUCUAAACCCUUUACUGGGGGUUGACCCCAAACCCCGGUUUGAUGGAAUAGGGGGGAGGUUUUAACCCGUGGACGCCAGUCUGGGGGACCCAAACCCUUUUGAAAUACCCCCCUUUAAAUUUUUAAAAUGUUCAAGGGGCCCCGUGAUCCCCCUUGGACAGUGUCUGGGGGGGGUAGUUUGACGGGGGGCGGUCCCCCUCCCAAAGCGUAACGGAGGAGAAAGAAGGUUAGCUAAUCCGGGGUUAACAUCAGGAGUUUAGGGGCAAAGGCAUAACCCAGUUUGCCCGCGAGAGUGACAGCCAAAAGGGGGGAAAGGGGUUUCUUGUGAUCCGGGGGGUUCAAGGAAGGGCCAUCGCUCAACGGAAAAAAAGGAAACCCGGGGAUAACAGGGUUGAUACCGCCCAAGAGUUCAUAUCGACGGCGGUGUUUGGAAACCUCGAUGUCGGCUCAUCACAUCCGGGGCCGAAGGGGGCCCCAAAGGGUAUGGUUUUCGCCAAAAGUGGAGCGACCCGGGUUUAAAAACGUCGAGACAGUCGGGCCCCCACUGCCGGGGUUGGAAGUUUUGAGGGGGUUGUUCUUAUUUAAGAGGCCCGGGAGUGAACGCACCAUUGUCGGGGUUGUGAUGCCAAUUGAGCCCGGAGCAAAGCGCGGGAAAAACCCGGCGAAAGCAUCUAAGGGGGAAAUUUGGGCCUUUUGGAGAUGAGUCUUCCUGGUAUUUGAUACCCGGGAAGGGGCCGUUGAAGACUCGACGUAGAUAGCUGGGUGUAAGCGUAGCGAAAGGACCCAACCAGAACGACCCGAAAAUUAAUUUUCCUUG
rnacentral:rRNA from 1 species